CAUUCUCUGCCAGAUUGUCUGUUCACCCAAGUGGUAGCUGUUAUUAUGGCUAGCUUAGAGUUUUUUUUUUUGCCUAGUCUGCCUUUUGAAUCUCUCGUUUUGAUACUUGUCUGACUGCAUGUUUUUGCUCCUGCACCACAUACCCGCUUCUGUUCUGAAAGUCCAGCCUGCCUGCCUGAGCUGAAUAGUUUUUUGGACCAGCCUCUCGCCUGUCUGCCUGUACUCAGCCCCAGUCUCACAGAGGAUUUCAAAGCACCAUUCCAACAUAUUGUUCAAUAAAACCUCUGUCCCUGUUUCUAACCAUGACUCCGUGUCUGCUCCUGAAUUCUAGACAGCCUAGCCUAACAGUAGAUAGUAUUUAUAAUGCAUGUUCAUGUCUUGCUAUUAAGCUUUUUCUGGUAUGGAGAAGUUAGUAAACAUGGAUCAAGACUAAUUACAAGCUGACUGUCCAAAUUUUUAAAUGGAAAAACUUGCAGACUAUAAACUUCACAGCAGCAACAUGUGAUGUGCGUUAACCGUUAGGGAUCAGGUCUGAAAAGCCAACACAGUCUUUCCCCAUUGUUUCACUCAAUUCGUCAGUAAAUGCCAUAGCAAGCAAAUGUGAUUUGCUAAUGAAAAGUAAUUAACUUAAUUUCAGUACAUUUACAUCCUUAGUUAACAUUAGGACUAGUUAGUUAACUUAUUCUUCCCAUCUAAUUUGUAACUACAGGACAUCUCUCCAUCUCCCAUUACUAUAGUGCAUUGUGUUUUACUUUCUGCCAUAUUAUAAGUGACAUGCGUCCUUAGAUCUAUUCCUUUUUUCCGACUGAAUCCUUUUUGUGUUUAAGCCGCUGUGUUGUUGUCAUUAACUCGAUGUCAGUUUCGGUCAGUAUCAUCUGGGAUUCUGCACAUGUCAAAUCAAUCUACACAUCUCAGUCAAAGACAGGGAUGCAUUGUUUAUAUUUUGACAGACAGACAAAACUGGGGGAAAAUAUAGGAGAUAAAAGUAUGUCUCUCUGUGUGUUUGUACAUGUGAAUGCCUCAGUGCAAUGAUAACCCUGUAUUCUCUCAACCCAGACAGUUUCUAAUCCUGCGAGGCAAGCCACUCCCCAUGUCCUUCCUCUGUCUUUCACUAUCUUAUCGCUGCCACAUUCCUUUCCUUCCCUUCCUCCACGCGGACUCUCCACCACGAGAUGGCAAUUACAACUCUGUUGACACGCUGACUCCACAGGGGCCUUUGCUUGCUGCUUCUGUCCUGCAGCAUCUGUCUGUCUGUACGUCUCUCUCCUUUGUCUCUCUGAGUUUGAAUGUUUUUGUCUUGCUGUGUUUCUGUCACCUCUGUUUUUCCCUCCUUCUUCCUCACUUUUGCACCCAUGGGUGUCUCUUUCCGUUUUUUGUCCCCCCACCAACUGUCCCUCUGUUUUUUUUACAUUCUUACUGCACAUGAUGUGACUCUCUCCCUUUUAACUUUAUUUCAUGUUAUUGUUUUCAAGUUUCGCUUACCUUUCUUGACUUUCCCCAGCUGCUGACUGAAGACUUUCUGCAGAAGUGAGAUGCUGAUUUAAGAUUAAGGAUGCCUAUCAUGACAUCCUUCAGGUUGUAGCAGUCAUCUGAAGUUAUGAAACUGAUGGCCAGACACAGGUGACCAAAACGCCUUGAUCUGCCAUUGCGGUGAAGGGACUGUUGAGGACAAGGAGCCAGAGGGACAUGAGGAAGCUGUUUGAUGUCAUCACCAUGUGUCCUUUCAAGUUACCCUUGGUUCUAAUCUAUGGCGGGACGCUGUCUGAGUCCCUCAUUAGUUACUGGUACCUCUCUUUAGUGUAACAUCAACCUCCAGAGGCAAGGUUGACUUGUGGACUGAAUAUCACUGUGAACAGACAUGUGGAGAAGAUAGAUUUUCAGUAAUAUUAACGUAACAUAAAUAAGGGCAUGAAAAUGAUGAUAAUGUGGUUUCCUCGUCUGUGAGUGAUCCAGUAGUACGUCCGAGUCUGAAAAAUACUGUCUGUAUUUACAUGCUCACCACCACAUUAUUUUUCAUCAUCAGAGAGACGAUUGUGGAGCAGAAAGGUAGUAAUGCAUUCUAAUUAAAUGGCUGAGGUCCAGCAAACAGAGAUUACUGACCUUACAUCUUAUGAGGUCGUAACCCACCACUGUUAACCGGUGUGUUAUUUUGUACCAGAAGUCUGUGUAAUCAAACUCAAGUCAGGUGGGAUUUGACCCCCUAACCCGCCAGAUGCAGGCACCUUUAUCAGCAGAUUAAGGGUGCACCUUGAGGUCACACAUACGCAAUGUAAACACAUACACACCACAAAGAGAGGUAUGCACAGAAAGGAACAAAUAAAUAUGAAGAUGCUUGUGUUUGUAAA